rnacentral:rRNA from 1 species
UACGGAGGGUGCAAGCGUUGUCCGGAUUUAUUGGGUUUAAAGGGUGCGUAGGCGGUCUUAUAAGUCAGUGCUGAAAUAUCCCGGCUUAACCGGGAGGGUGGCAUUGAUACUGUAGGACUUGAGUAAAGUUGAGGUUGGCGGAAUUGACGGUGUAGCGGUGAAAUGCUUAGAUAUCGUCAAGAACACCGAUAGUGUAGACAGCUAACUAAGCUUUAACUGACGCUGAGGCACGAAAGUGUGGGGAUCAAACAGG